AUGGCCGACGCCAGCGCCGGCAACAAUGCGGGCAGCACGAGCAACGCCGAGGUCCAGAUACAGAUCCCUGCAGGGCCACCCAAAGCCGAGCCGGGGGCACCAUCCAAGAACUCCGGCGCCAAGAACUGGCGGUGGUGGAUGAUGGUGUCGGUGGACGUCUUCUUCGUCGUCGCCGGCCAGACGUCCGCGACGCUGCUGGGGAGGUACUACUACCACCAGGGCGGCAGCAGCAAGUGGAUAUCAACGUUCGUGCAGACCGCUGGCUUCCCCAUACUGUUCCUCGCCCUCUUGUGUUUCCCCAAGUCGUCCGGCGGCGGCGGCGCCAGCGGCGACGCCCCGGUCGCCAAGGUCGCGGUGAUCUACGUCGUCCUGGGGCUCGUCAUAGCCGCCGACGACAUGAUGUACGCCAGCGGCCUCAAGUACCUCCCGGUCUCCACCUACUCGCUCAUCUGCGCCAGCCAACUGGCCUUCAACGUCGUCUUCUCCUACGUGCUCAACUCGCAGAAGCUCACCGGCCUGAUCUUCAACGCCGUGAUCCUGCUGACGCUGUCGGACGCGCUCCUCGGGGUGAACCACGACGAGACGGAGGACAUGAGCGGCAUGCCUCGGGGCAAGUACCUCAUGGGCAUCCUGCUGACGCUGGGGGCGUCGGGCACCUACUCGCUCAUCCUCUCCCUCAUGCAGCUCACCUUCGAGAACGUGAUCAAGAAGCACACCUACACAGCCGUGCUCAACAUGCAGAUAUACACGGCGCUCGUCGCCACCAUCGCCUCCAUGGUCGGCCUCUUCGCCAGCGGCGAGUGGAGGAUGAUGACGGAGGAGAUGGACACCUUCCGCUCCGGCCAGUUCUCCUACUUCAUGACGCUGGUGUGGACGGCCGUGUCCUGGCAGAUCACCUCCGUCGGGGUGGUGGGGCUCGUCUUCGAGGUCUCCUCCCUCUUCUCCAACGUCAUCAGCACCGUGUCGCUGCCCAUCGUGCCCCUCUUCGCCGUGCUCAUUUUCCACGACACCAUGGAUGGGAUAAAGAUCAUAUCCAUGCUCAUCGCCGCCUGGGGGUUCGUUUCCUAUCUCAUGCAACACUUCAUCGAUGACAAGAAAGCUAGGAAGGCGGCAGCUGGUGGCUAG
rnacentral:rRNA from 1 species